UACGUAGGGUGCGAGCGUUGUCCGGAAUUACUGGGCGUAAAGAGCUCGUAGGUGGUUUGUCGCGUUGUUCGUGAAAACCGGGGGCUUAACCCUCGGCGUGCGGGCGAUACGGGCAGACUUGAGUACUGCAGGGGAGACUGGAAUUCCUGGUGUAGCGGUGGAAUGCGCAGAUAUCAGGAGGAACACCGGUGGCGAAGGCGGGUCUCUGGGCCACUACUGACGCUGAGAAGCGAAAGCAUGGGGAGCGAACAGG
rnacentral:rRNA from 1 species